GUAAGGUGCCCUAGCACGGCGAGUGAAGCGGGAAGAGCUCAAAUUUGAAAUCUGGUGGCCUCAGGUCAUCCGAGUUGUAAUCUAUAGAAGUGUUUUCCGUGCUGGCUCAUGUACAAGUCCCUUGGAACAGGGCGUCAUAGAGGGUGAGAAUCCCGUCCUUGACAUGAACUACCAGUGCUCUGUGAUACAUUUUCAACGAGUCGAGUUGUUUGGGAAUGCAGCUCAAAAUGGGUGGUAAAUUCCAUCUAAAGCUAAAUAUUGGCGAGAGACCUAUAGCGAACAAGUACCGUGAGUGAAAGAUGAAAAGCACUUUGGAAAGAGAGUUAAACAGUAUGUGAAAUUGUUGAAAGGGAAACGAUUGAAGUCAGUCGUGCUCUUUGGAUUCAGCCGGUUCUGCCGGUGUACUUCCUUUGAGUGGGGUCAACAUCAGUUUUGAUCGCUGGAUAAAGGCUGGAGGAACGUAGUACCCUCGGGUAAACUUAUAGCCUCCUGUCACAUACAGUGGUUGGGACUGAGGAACGCAGCACGCCUUUAUGGCCGGGAUUCGUCCACGUUCGUGCUUAGGAUGUUGACAUAAUGGCUUUAAACGACCCGCUUAAAACCGGACCAAGGGGGUUCCGCCCACAAA
rnacentral:rRNA from 1 species